AGAGUUUGAUCCUGGCUCAGGAUGAACGCUGGCGGCGUGCCUAACACAUGCAAGUCGAACGGAGCACUGAGACUUCGGUUUUUGUGCUUAGUGGCGGACGGGUGAGUAACGCGUGAGCAAUCUGCCUUUCAGAGGGGGAUAACGAUUGGAAACGAUCGCUAAUACCGCAUAACACAUUCGGGUGGCAUCAUCUGAAUGUCAAAGGAGCAAUCCGCUGAAAGAUGAGCUCGCGUCUGAUUAGAUAGUUGGUGAGGUAACGGCCCACCAAGUCGACGAUCAGUAGCCGGACUGAGAGGUUGAACGGCCACAUUGGGACUGAGACACGGCCCAGACUCCUACGGGAGGCAGCAGUGGGGAAUAUUGCGCAAUGGGGGAAACCCUGACGCAGCAACGCCGCGUGAUUGAAGAAGGUCUUCGGAUUGUAAAAAUCUUUUAUCAAGGACGAAGAAGUGACGGUACUUGAUGAAUAAGCUCCGGCUAACUACGUGCCAGCAGCCGCGGUAAUACGUAGGGAGCAAGCGUUAUCCGGAUUUACUGGGUGUAAAGGGCGAGUAGGCGGAUUGGCAAGUUGGGAGUGAAAUGUCGGGGCUUAACCCCGGAAC
rnacentral:rRNA from 1 species